GAUGAACGCUGGCGGCGUGCUUAACACAUGCAAGUCGAACGGUGAACUCGGAGCUUGCUCUGUGGGAUCAGUGGCGAACGGGUGAGUAACACGUGAGCAACCUGCCCCUGACUCUGGGAUAAGCGCUGGAAACGGCGUCUAAUACUGGAUAUGUGACGUGAUCGCAUGGUCUGCGUCUGGAAAGAAUUUCGGUUGGGGAUGGGCUCGCGGCCUAUCAGCUUGUUGGUGAGGUAAUGGCUCACCAAGGCGUCGACGGGUAGCCGGCCUGAGAGGGUGACCGGCCACACUAGGACUGAGACACGGCCCAGACUCCAACGGGAGGCAGCGGUGGGGAGUAUUGCACAAUGGGCGCAAGCCUGAUGCAGCAACGCCGCGUGAGGGAUGACGGGCUUCGGGUUGUAAACCUCUUUUAGCAGGGAAGAAGCGAAAGUGACGGUACCUGCAGAAAAAGCGCCGGCUAACUACGUG
rnacentral:rRNA from 1 species